CAAACAUGAGAAGAAACGUGAUUAUUGAGUGUAUUUCUGCACCCUCCAUUUAAAUUAGAGCACAAGGCAAAAGAAUAUGAGACAGAGAGCAAAGAUAGCAACUCCUUGCUAGGUGAGAGAAAGAAAAACAGCAGCCUGCAAAUGACGUCAGAGAAAGCUGAAUUUAACACGUGGUGGGAAGCAUGAAAUAUUCCUCCUAUAAUGCCCACUGUUGCACAAGGGGAAAUGCAUUGCCACAGGGUAUGCCAUCAAACACAUCCCUCCCAGGUUUUGAUGCUCUUCUAUUGUUGCCAGUUACAUCACACCAGAAAUGUUCCAGGACUUCUGACUCUUUUUUUUCUGCAAAGUUAAGUUCUAUUACAGCAAGAUUCAAAUUAAAGUAUAUAUAUUUUUUUCAUUAUUUACUGAUUGUUGGACAACUUAAUUGAAAAUGAGACUUUUUACCAAAUGAACUCAAUGUCUUUCAAAAUACGUUAACUUCUUUGGAAGUGGACAACAUUUGUUCAUAUUCAGAAGAUUCUUUCCUGGAUUUAAUCAGUAGUGGCUAUUCUGGAAUAA